AAGUGGUUGCUUCGCCGCGCGCCAUUUUCAAACCGGCGGCGGGGCCGGGCCGGACCGGGGCUCCUGCCGCACAACCGGCCGCUGCCGAUGCGCUCUGACCGCGGGGAGCGCGGAUUAGCCCGGCUGCCGCUGGGCUCUCGUUCCCUCUGGGCUCUGCCGAUGCCUAGGUGACACGUCUCGGCGUCUCCUCCGUGGUUUGCCCUGGAAGAAUUUACCUUCAGCAGCGUGUCGGUGUCCUUUCUUCCCUCAGUUUUACAAAGGCUGCACUUACAAUGACGACAGCAGCAGAGCGGAAGUUUGUUAACCUCAGGAAACGUCUGGAUCAGCUGGGCUACCGGCAGCCCUUGGGAGUGGAGAGUUUACCUUUGGUGGAAAAGCUUUUUAGUGACCUUGUUCAUACAACAGAGAGCCUGCGCAGUGCAAAGUUAUCUGCUGGAAAAAUUGAAAAAGAAUGCAGCAAUUAUGAUGCUAUUAUAGAACCGUAUAAAACUGAGAAUGCAAAACUUACCAGGGAAAAUAAUGAGCUGCAUUUGGAAAUAUUAAAACUGAAAGAGCAAUCUGAUCGUCAUAUUAAAGACUUGAAAGCCAGCUUAAGGAGUGUUGAAAAUGAAGCAGUUGACUUGAAAUUCCUAAAUAACCAGUAUGUGCAUAAAAUUAAACUGCUGGAAAAAGAGAGCAAAGCCAAGACUGAAAAAAUUCAGCAGCUUCAAGAGAAGAAUCUGCAAGCAGUUGUGCAAACUCCUGGUGGCAGAAAAAGAAACAUCCCAUUCAGGCGUCAACGCAUGCAGAUAGACCAGCCUGUCCCACCAUCAGCUGUUAGUGCCUACCCAGUGCCUCAGCCAGAGGACCCGUACAUUGCAGACCUUCUUCAGGUGGCUGAUAAUCGAAUACAAGAACUUCAGUCAGAAGUGACACAGUUACAGGAAAAACUAGAGAUAUCAGAAAACGGAAAGAAGAAUUACAGCAAGCAGGUUGAGCUUAGAGACAAAGAAAUAGAACGCCUAAUGCUAGCAUUGGAUGGUGGUCGUUCUCAUGAAGUUGUAUCUCUGGAAUCAAGAAGUAAAAGUAAUGAGAAACUUAUUGCCCAAUUAAAUUUGCAGGUUGAAUAUCUUCAGCAAUCAAACAAAGAACUUGAAAAUCGUAUUCAAGACCUCUUGGACACAAAAAAAAAUGUGACUAGUGAGGUAGUGCACUUAAGCAAUAAAAAUGAAGAACUCUGUCAAGAACUGAAUGAAAUAGACCAUUUGGCACAGCAGUUGGAGAGACAUAAGGAAAUUGUGCUUGAAACUGCAGAUAAAGAAAUUGGAGAAGCAAAGAAGGAAAUUGAAAGAAAGGACAGUGAAAUACAGGAUCUUGAAGACACAAUAACGAGGCUUAAAUCAGAGCUGUGCUCAUGUCGUCGUCAGAAUGAGAGAUUGAGUGAAGAACUCUUUGGAAAAGCAGAUGAUAAAGCGAAUCUCGAGCUACUGCUAAACCAGCUUGAACAAGAGAAACAGAGGCUGACAGAAAAAACAGAGAACUUUGAAAUAAAAGAACGGGAGCUUGUCCUAGAAAUAGAAAGAAUGAGAUUAGAAUACGGUAUAGCUCUAGGAGACAAAUCUCCAUCUCGUCUAGAUGCAUUUGUCAAAACUUUAGAAGAUGACAGAGAUUAUUAUAAAAGAGAAUUAGAGUAUCUUCAAAAAAUGAUAAAACGAAGACCUAGCCCAAGUCGUAGAACUCCAGAGAAGAGUGAAGAUCUGAGAUUGAUCACCAGAGAAAGAGAUGAGCUACAGUCAAUGUUAGACAGAUUUGAAAAGCAUAUGAUAGAAAUUCAAUCCAGCGUCAAGCUACUGACUGCAGAAAGAGACAGAUUGAAUAUUCUUUAUGAGCAGUCUCAGAGUGAAUUAAACAGGCUGAGAAGAGAAGCAAAGCAUCAUUUAGUUUCUCAAAGUCACGUGGGAGAAGAUGGAGAUGUUGCACUGGCAGACUUUAGAAGACUGAUGACAGAAAAGGAAAGUCUAAGAGAAAAGUUAAAGAUUCAGCAAGAAGCGGCUAACCUUGAAAAAUCAAAGAUGCAGCAUGAUAUUUCAGAACUGGAAAAUAAUAUUCAACAAUUUGAGUUGGAAAGGUGCGAACUAAAGAGUACGAUCUCUAUCCUGAAAGAAAGAAUAAAGUCUUUGGAAAAUGAAUUAAAAUUGAAGUCCAAUAAACUUAUGCAGACAUCUGAUGAUUCUUCUCAAUUUAAGGCUGAACUUUGCUCACUUCACCUCUUAAAUGAACAACUCCAGAGAACUGUGGAAGACUUACAGCACCGGUUGUCUCUCAAAAAGGAUGAACUUCAGUCAGCUCAAGAAGAAAUUGUAAAGCUAGAGGAGAAAAUAGAUAGGUUAAACCAGAAGAGCACUUCACAGGAUGAGGCAGUCAAUGUGCUUAGAAGUACUAUUACUGUUUUGGACAAAGAAAAGGAUAAUCUUCAAGAAACUGUAGAUGAAAAAACAGAAAGAAUUGCGUGCUUAGACGACAACUUAGCUAAUAAGGAAAAGACAAUUACUCACUUACGGCUAACGCUCUCUGAGCUGGAGUCGUCAACAGACCAGCUGAAGGACCUCUUGAGCAGCAGAGACCGUGAGAUAUCUAGCUUGCGUCGCCAACUUGAUGCAUCCCACACAGAGAUUGCAGAAACAGGAAGAGUAAAGGAAAUAGCUCUGAAAGAAAAUAGACGACUACAAGAUGAUCUGGCUACAAUGACCAGAGAAAACCAGGCUGUUAGUUCUGAGCUUCAAGAUGCAAUACGUGAAAAGGAAGAAAUGAAAACAAGAGUGCAUAAUUAUAUAACUGAAGUUUCCAGAUUUGAGAGUCUGAUAGCUUCAAAGGAAAAAGAAAACCAAGAAUUGUUAGAGAAGUUCCGAAUGCUUCAUACACAAGCUGAGGACUGGGAAAUCAAGGCUCAUCAAGCUGAAGGGGAAAGCAGCUCAAUACGGCUUGAACUCCUUUCUGUAGAUACGGAUCGGAGACAUCUUCGAGAGAGAGUAGAACUUCUGGAAAAAGAGAUUCAAGAGCAUAUGAUUGCACAUCAAGCUUAUGAAUCUCAGAUCUCCUCCAUUACAAAAAAUAUGUCUAAAUUGGAAGAGGACAUUAAACGUGAACAUCAGGAUAAGUCCUCUGUGUUGGCUGACCUGACUUCUGUGAGAGAACUUUGUGUUAAACUUGAAGCUAGCAAAGACCUUUUAUCUCGACAGCUUGCAUCUAAAAGCAUGGAUUAUGAAAGGGUUCUAAGUGAAUUAGAAGAUGUUAAAUCAGAAGCAGAGUUGCUGAAAAAGCAGUUAUCCAGUGAGAGACUUACAAUUCAGAAUCUUGAAACAUUGCUGGCUACCAGUAGAGAUAAAGAAUUUCAGAACCAUUUAACGUCUCAUGAAAAAGACUCAGAAAUUCAGUUACUGAAAGACAAGCUAACACUUGCUGAGGGGAAACUUGCAAUCACUAAAAUCCUUUCCUCCGAGAUCAAGGGAAGUGGUCCUUCCCCUCUUCACAGCACUGGUGAGGCCCCACCUGGGGCUUUGUGUCCAGUUCUGGGCUCCUCAGUACAAGAGUGAUAUGGACUUAAUGAAUUGAGUCCAAUGAAGGGCCACGAAGAUGUUUAAGGGACUGGAGCAUCUCUCCUAUGAGGAAAAGGCUGGGAGAGCUCAGGCUGCUUAUCUUGGAGACCAGAAGGCUCUGGAGAGGAUCUAUCAAUGUAUGUAAAUAACUGAACAGGAGGGAAGACAGAGCCAGUGUCUGUUCUGUGGUGCCCAGUGACAGGGAUGAUGGGCAAUGAGCACCAGUGGGAACACAAGAUUCCUUCUAAGUGAACACUUCUUGCCAGUAUGGUGAUUUUGUGAUUUUUGUUGUCAGUAUUCCAUAUCAUAACAUCAUGUAGAGUACUGGGAGUUAAAGAGUUAAUGCUCCAGUUCCACGGAUUGAGUACUGAUGCUGAUUGCAUGGAGAGUUUGGGGAGUCUCCCUCUUUGGAGACAGUCAAAAGCCAAAAGAACUGAAACCAAUACCUACAGUGAAUGUCUACAGCACUUUCAUUAUAACUCUUUAUGUAAAAUUUCAGUAAACUAAGUUUUGAAGUUUUCAUUUUAGGUCUCAUCAUAACAUGGUAACACCAUUUAUUCUUGUGGGGAUCAUUAGCCAGUGAUUGUAGUGGUAACUUUGCACUGAAUAGCAAGAUGCUGAAAUAGCAGCUGAAUGUAGAUGAAGAUGAAGCCUGAAGUCAAACUGAAGUUCAGAAAAGAAUAAAAGAACAUUGCAGUAGGUUGAGAAGGGAAACAAGCAGAAAGUAAAAGGACAGAUAACGCUUCCCUAUUACAAGAAGUAGAAUAUAACAUACCUGAACUGUUAAAAGCUAUUGUGUGAUGACACAAAUGUCAAGAAAAUCACUUUGGAUUGAUGUGUGUAAAGGCUUACUACUGACAAUUGAUGCCAUACAUCAAAUAAUGAUGAUCUCAGUAAAGGUAUAGAGAGUGAUGGUAUCAAUCACUUCUGUGCAUCUCAUUGCUUCAUGUUUUAGAUUUGCUGAAUUUUGUUUACUUGAGAAAAAAAGAAUUUUAAUCACGUACAAAGAUAUAAACUAAUGGAAUGUCCUGACUGUGAAAUAAAACAUGGAAAUUACAAAACAAGAAAAGAAUGAGGUUUUCAUUUAACAUAAAUUCAGCUUCUUGCAUGCCAAAAAUACAAAACUUUGUUUCAAUCACUUCAUAAUAUUUCUUUCAAAAGAUUUCUUCUGAAUGCAUUUUAAGGUUCCUUUCUUCUUUAUUGCAAAUGUCAAUACUGUGUUUAUAUUGGAGGUUCCUUGUCUUGCCAGGCUUGUGUUCAGGUAUAAGAACUAGUUGCAUAUGCUUCCAUUUUCUAGUAUUCAGUUUUUGUAGUACUUGGAGUCUGAAGGACAGAAGCUUUAAAUGCUCACAACUGUGAUUGAAGUAUGUGAGGGUUACAGUUGUGUCUUGUGAAAAAUGCAGUGAACUUGUCAGCUAGAACUGAAACUUUGCAGAAGUUGUGCAUCGAUGUUUUUGAACAUUAUUUACAUUUUUGACACUAUUGUGCCUGUGCUUCCAUUCUGUUUAUAAAAUAGUACUGAUAGAGCCUCUAACUUCAGAAGGAUUGUCAAAAGUAUAGCUUUGAAGCUCUUCACUGCCAUAAAUUUUGAACUCUGUGAAGAGUGAAUAGUUGCAUUACUCAAAAUGCUUCUUUCAUAAUGGGGUAAAUGAGUCACUGAGACUGCAGUCAUCAGGUACUAAAUAAACAGCAUAUUCAGUAUCUAAACUACUUGAUGCUAGCUGGAGAUACUGACUGUGGAAAGUCCAGAUGCCACGUGAAAAAUAUUGGAUCACCAUGUAAUUUUACUAUAGGAUGAUUGCUGUGCAUAGGGGUUCCAAAAUUCUGUUAUUUUAAAUCUUCCUUAAUUUUUGAGUGACUUAACUCAUCAUCUCUACUUUUGUUUCAAAGUUAUUUACAUGUACUAACCUCAGAAUUCGCAAAACUGCUUUUUCUUUAUCUUACAAUAAUGAUUUUGGGCUCUGAGUUCUUACCUUCACCCUGGAAAUACAUGCCAAUUUCGGAAGGACUUUGAAUAAUAUAUCAUCAGAAGCCUUCUGCAACUAUUUGCAAUAGGCUAGAUCAGAAUUAUUAUAGAAUUUUUAUUGAUGAAUAUGGAAGACAAGGAAAAAUGUUCUGCGUUUCUGGGGGCUCCCAUCUCUUGAGUAUUUUGCAUCUGCCUGGAGUCAGAGACCAAUGGGUGCCCAGACAUGAAGUCUGAUACUGAGCUAGGAAAGGAACUUGUUUUCUCAGGAUUGCAGUUCAGUGCUUACACAGUGAGCUACGACAUCUUUCCCUUUCCACAACUGAUUUCUCAGCACUCAGCUUCGUACUGGCUUUGAAGACAUGGAAUAAUAUACCUGUUUAGACAACUCCUUUUACACUCAAGGAGUGACUUUUUUUUUUUUCUGUUCUGUAAUGCAAUUUGGAGUGUAUUGCAGUCAACUGUUGAAUUGUCCAGAUCAGUGAUUUGCUGAGAAACAUUUUUAAUUAUGUCACUUAAGAUUUUCAGGGCUCUUUUUCUUUUUGAUCCUUGAGGUUGAAACAAUUGACCCCAAAAUCAGGAGUGUACUUGGCAAACCUGCAGAUUUUGCUGGUUUGAGCUUGUAUUAAUACCAGUUUUAUUUAGAUGUUAUUCAGUUAUGUUCCCUUCUAGACUGAUACUUUUUACUGCAGUUAUAUCAGUUAUGUUUGUACUUUUUAUGAAUGGCUACUAUUUUUUUCUUCUUUUUCACUGUAUGCAUAAAAAUGAUUUAAUAUUGCAGCAGAAGACAAUCAGUAGAAUAGUAAUGUAAUUAUUUUGUCUGCUUUUAUAGAACAUUGCUGCUUAUCUUUGCCUGAAAAAGAAUAUAAUGUGUUGCAGUAAAGAUGGAAUGAGAGACUUAGUAGCUUCUCACAUCUUUCUCACCUUAGAUUCUUCUACAAACAUGCCAUGGAAUUGGCUUGGCUCUCCUUCUAAUCUGUCUCUGUGAUUUGGUCUGUAUGAAACAGCAUGUUGAGUUUCUGGUUUUCUUUUGUUGACUUGCUCUAAUUCCUCUGAGCUCCUAUCUAUUGGCGUUCAAAGAAAACGUUGUUGCUUCUGAUGGUUUUUUUUAGAAGCAGUCAUAAUAGAGAGGUUUCCACACUUCGAAGUAAAGUUGCGCAGCUGCAGACUGACUGUGAUGUUUUAAAAAGACAGCUAACGACUGAAAGAUUUGAACGAGAGCGUGCAAUUCAG